CCUACGGGAGGCAGCAGUAGGGAAUAUUCCACAAUGGGCGAAAGCCUGAUGGAGCAACGCCGCGUGGGUGAAGAAGGUCUUCGGAUCGUAAAACCCUGUUGGUAGAGAAGAAAGGGCGAGAGAGUAACUGUUCACGUGUAGACGGUAUCGAACCAGAAAGCCACGGCUAACUACGUGCCAGCAGCCGCGGUAAGACGUAGGUGGCAAGCGUUAGCCGGAUUUAUUGGGCGUAAAGGGAACGCAGGCGGUCUGUUAAGUCUGAUGUGAACGCCUUCGGCUUACCCGGAGUAGUGCCUUGGAAACUGGUAGCCUUGAGUGCAGGAGAGGAGAGUGGAACUCCCUGUGUAGCGGU
rnacentral:rRNA from 1 species